AAUUACCAGCUGGGUGCGGUGGCUCAUGUCUGUAAUCCCAGCACUUUGGGAGGCCAAGGCGGGCAAAUUACAAGGUCGGGAGAUGAAGACCAUGCUGGCCAACAUGGUAAAACCCUGUCUCUACUAAAA